AAUGUGAAGAAAGUGGUGUGUGUGGCAGAGGCAGUGCAUCCCACAUCUCUUCUCUCUGAGAUUCAUUGUGUUGAGUCUGGGUGUGUAGAAAGAUGGGAAAAGGUGGAUCUCUGAGCGAUGGCGUUGUGAAGAAGAUCGUGCUAUCCUACACCUACGUUGCCAUAUGGAUCUUCCUCAGUUUCACUGUAAUCGUCUACAACAAGUACAUCCUCGACAAGAAGAUGUACAACUGGCCAUUCCCCAUCUCCCUCACCAUGAUCCACAUGUCCUUCUGCGCCNCCCUCGCCGUCCUCCUCGUCCGCGUCUUCCGCCUCGUCGAGCCAGUUUCAAUGUCACGCGAGGUAUACCUCUCCUCGGUCGUCCCCAUCGGAGCCCUCUACUCCCUCUCCCUCUGGCUCUCCAACUCCGCCUACAUCUACCUCUCCGUCUCCUUCAUCCAGAUGUUGAAGGCUCUAAUGCCUGUCGCUGUAUACUCCAUCGGCGUCCUCCUCCGCAAAGAGUCCUACAAAAAUGACACCAUGCUCAACAUGCUCUCCAUCUCCCUCGGAGUAGGCGUCGCCGCUUACGGGGAAGCGCGUUUCGACGCCUGGGGCGUCCUCCUCCAACUGGGCGCGGUUGCCUUCGAGGCCACGCGCCUCGUCAUGAUCCAAAUCCUCCUCACCUCCAAGGGGAUCUCGCUCAACCCCAUCACCUCGCUCUACUACGUCGCCCCCUGCUGCCUCGUCUUCCUCUCCGUCCCCUGGAUCUUCGUCGAGUACCCUGUCCUCCGAGACACCUCCACCUUCCAGUUCGAUUUCGUGGUCUUCGGGACCAACUCCUUCUGCGCCUUCGCGCUCAACCUCGCAGUCUUUCUCCUCGUCGGGAAGACCUCGGCGCUGACUAUGAACGUCGCUGGCGUGGUGAAGGACUGGCUCCUGAUUGCCUUCUCGUGGUCGGUUAUCAAGGACACCGUGACUCCGAUUAAUUUGUUCGGUUACGGGCUGGCGUUCCUUGGCGUGGCGUAUUACAACCACUCCAAGUUGCAGGCGCUGAAGGCCAAAGAGGCGCAGAAGAAGACCGCCCAAGCCGAUGAGGAGGAAGGGAGGCUGCUCGAGGAGAGAGAGGCCGACGGAAUGGAUUCCAGAGAAAAAAAGUCGGUACGAGGAAAAUAAAACCAGGAGGUUUCGAUUUGAGCGAAUAUAUGGCAAUGGCAUCGUCCUCUCUGGCCUAAUUACCGGUUCGGCUAUUUGAUCAGCUAAGUCGUCAGCAGAAAGAAUUGGACUGUCUGGACCAAUGGCAGCAGCUCCCAACUCAUGCUCCAGUUCAGACAGAAGAUCAGCAUCCAAACUAGGAACCCACCUAUGAUUCCUGCAAGCUGCCAGAAAACUCCUCAAUAUAACACCAUUCGGCUCCAUAGGCAUGCCCUUGAUAAUGUCAUAUGCCUCUUGAAUCAAGCCAGAUCUUCCUAGCAAGUCAACCAUGCAUCCAUAGUGUUCAACACUCGGUUUUAUGCUAUACAUUCUCACCAUCCGAUCAAAAUACCUUCUCCCUUCACAAACGAGUCCAGCGUGGCUGCAGGCCGAGAGAAUCACAGCAAAAACCAAACUAUUCGGUUGCAGCCCCAUAUCCUCUGAUAGGAUACUGGGGAGAGGACUUAAUGGGUUAGAAUAGAAGGUAGAGGAAUUCUGUAAAUAAGACCCGAUUUGUGUCAGGGGUAUCGAGGAUAUAUUUUGUAAAGUUAGGCUUUAGCUUGUGUAGAGAGGUUAUGCUCCCAAUCCCAUUUUGUUGUACAAUGCUUAUACGUUAUGAAAUAAUAGAAUUCUUUCUUUCAA